GACGAACGCUGGCGGCGUGCUUAACACAUGCAAGUCGAACGGAAAGGCCCUGCUUUUGUUGGGUGCUCGAGUGGCGAACGGGUGAGUAACACGUGAGUAACCUGCCCUUGACUCUGUGAUAACUUCACGAAACUGCGGCUAUUAUCGGAUAUAAGCUCCUGCUGCAUGUUGGUCGUUAGUAAGUUUCGGCGGUUGGGGAUCGACUCGCGGCUUAUCAGCUUGUUUGUGGGGUAGUGGCUUACCAAGGCUUUGACGGGUACCCGGCCUGAGAGGGUUGCCGGGCACAUUGGGACUGAGAUACGGCCCAGAAUGCUACGGGAGGCAGCAGUGGGGAAUAUUGCACAAUGGGGGGAAGCCUGUGGCAACAACGCCGCGUGCGGAAUGACGGCCUUCGAGUGGUGAACCGCUUUAGCCUGUGACGAAGCGUGAGUGACGGUAAUGGGUAAAGAAGCACCGGCUAACUACGUG
rnacentral:rRNA from 1 species